UUUCCGGUUGAUCCCGCCGGACCUGACUGCUAUCGGAUUGAUACUAAGCCAUGCGAGUCUUUGUAGUAAUACAAGGCAGACGGCUCAGUAACGCGUAGUCAACCUACCCUAUGGACGGGAAUAAUCUCGGGAAACUGAGCAUAAUACCCGGCGUACCACCAUUCCUGGAAUGGUUGGUGGUUAAAAUGAUUCGUCGCCGUAGGAUGGGACUGCGACCUAUCAGCUUGUUGGUGAGGUAAAGGCCCACCAAGGCGAUUACAGGUACGGGCUCUGAGAGGAGAAGCCCGGAGAUGGGUACUGAGACACGGACCCAGGCCCUAUGGGGCGCAGCAGGCGAGAAAACUUUGCAAUGUGCGAAAGCACGACAAGGUUAAUCCGAGUGAUUUCUGCUAAAGGAAUCUUUUGCCAGUUCUAAAAAUACUAGUGAAUAAGGGGUGGGCAAGUUCUGGUGUCAGCCGCCGCGGUAAAACCAGCACCUCAAGUGGUCAGGAGGAUUAUUGGGCCUAAAGCAUCCGUAGCCUGCUCUGUAAGUUUUCGGUUAAAUCUAUAUGCUCAACGUAUAGGCUGCCGAAAAUACUGCAGUGCUAGGAAGUGGGAGAGGUAGACGGUACUUGAUAGGAAGGGGUAAAAUCCUUUGAUCUAUCGAUGACCACCUGUGGCGAAGGCGGUCUACCAGAACACGUUCGACGGUGAGGGAUGAAAGCUGGGGGAGCAAACCGGAUUAGAUACCCGGGUAGUCCCAGCUGUAAACGAUGCAGACUCGAUGAUGCACUGGCAUAUAGCCAGUGCAGUGUCGCAGGGAAGCCGUUAAGUCUGCCGCCUGGGAAGUACGUACGCAAGUAUGAAACUUAAAGGAAUUGGCGGGGGAGCACCACAAGGGGUGAAGCCUGCGGUUCAAUUGGAGUCAACGCCGGA
rnacentral:rRNA from 1 species